AUAGUACUCCCUCCGUUCAGAAUUACUUGUCUCGAAAAUGGAUGUAUCUAAAUCUAAAAUACAUCUAGAUACAUCCAUUUCUGUGACGAGUAAUUCCGAGCGGAGGGAGUAGAUU
rfam:Triticum aestivum genome assembly, contig: Triticum_aestivum_CS42_TGACv1_scaffold_196495_3AL